rnacentral:rRNA from 1 species
AAUGACUGUUAUAGCAUGGUGAAUACACCGUUUUUCGUCCGAUCAUUGAAGUUAAGCAACAACGGGCGUGGUUCGUACCUGGAUGGGUGACCCUAAGAGGACAAUUCAAUGCUGUAACCU